rnacentral:rRNA from 1 species
AGAGUUUGAUCAUGGCUCAGGAUGAACGCUGGCGGCGUGCCUAAUACAUGCAAGUCGAGCGCGAAGAUCAGGAGCUUGCUCCUGUGAUUUGAGCGGCGGACGGGUGAGUAACACGUAGGCAACCUACCCUUGAGAUUGGGAUAACUACCGGAAACGGUAGCUAAUACCGGAUACGACUUUUCCACAUAAGUGGAACUGUUAAAAGGCGGAUUUAUCUGCCGCUCAUGGAUGGGCCUGCGGUGCAUUAGCUAGUUGGUGAGAUAGUAGCUCACCAAGGCGACGAUGCAUAGCCGACCUGAGAGGGUGAUCGGCCACACUGGGACUGAGACACGGCCCAGACUCCUACGGGAGGCAGCAGUAGGGAAUCUUCCGCAAUGGACGAAAGUCUGACGGAGCAACGCCGCGUGAGUGAUGAAGGGUUUCGGCUCGUAAAACUCUGUUGUUAAGGAAGAACACUUGAGGUAGUAACUGGCCUUGAGAUGACGGUACUUAACCAGAAAGCCACGGCUAACUACGUGCCAGCAGCCGCGGUAAU